rnacentral:rRNA from 1 species
AAAAUUAGCGGAUGACUUGUGGCUGGGGGUGAAAGGCCAAUCAAACCGGGAGAUAGCUGGUUCUCCCCGAAAGCUAUUUAGGUAGCGCCUCGUGAAUUCAUCUCCGGGGGUAGAGCACUGUUUCGGCUAGGGGGUCAUCCCGACUUACCAACCCGAUGCAAACUGCGAAUACCGGAGAAUGUUAUCACGGGAGACACACGGCGGGUGCUAACGUUCGUCGUGAAGAGGGAAACAACCCAGACCGCCGGCUAAGGUCCCAAAGUCAUAAUUAAGUGGGAAACGAAGUGGGAAGGCUCAGACAGCCAGGAUGUUGGCUUAGAAGCAGCCAUCAUUUAAAGAAAGCGUAAUAGCUCACUGGUCGAGUCGGCCUGCGCGGAAGAUGUAACGGGGCUAAAUUAUGCACCGAAGCCGCGGCAGCGAUAUGUAAAUAUUGUUGGGUAGGGGAGCGUUCUGUAAGCCUGUGAAGGUGUGCUGUGAGGCAUGCUGGAGGUAUCAGAAGUGCGAAUGCUGACAUAAGUAACGAUAAUGCGGGUGAAAAACCCGCACGCCGGAAGACCAAGGGUUCCUGUCCAACGUUAAUCGGGGCAGGGUGAGUCGACCCCUAAGGCGAGGCUGAAAAGCGUAGUCGAUGGGCAACGGGUUAAUAUUCCCGUACUGGUGGUAACUGCGAAGGGGGGACGGAGAAAGCUAAAUCAUCCGGGCGACGGUUGUCCCGGUUUAAGCGUGCAGGUGGACUGACCAGGCAAAUCCGGUCGGUUGUUAACACUGAGGCGUGACGACGAGCCACUACGGUGGUGAAGUGAUUGAUGCUCUGCUUCCGGGAAAAGCCUCUAAGCUCCAGGUUACCAUUAAUCGUACCCCAAACCGACACAGGUGGUCAGGUAGAGAAUACUCAGGCGCUUGAGAGAACUCGGGUGAAGGAACUAGGCAAAAUGGUGCCGUAACUUCGGGAGAAGGCACGCUGGCAUUAGGUGAAGUGAUUUACUCAUGGAGCUGAAGCCAGCCGCAGAUACCAGCUGGCUGCAACUGUUUAUUAAAAACACAGCACUGUGCAAACACGAAAGUGGACGUAUACGGUGUGACGCCUGCCCGGUGCCGGAAGGUUAAUUGAUGAGGUUAGCGCAAGCGAAGCUUCUGAUCGAAGCCCCGGUAAACGGCGGCCGUAACUAUAACGGUCCUAAGGUAGCGAAAUUCCUUGUCGGGUAAGUUCCGACCUGCACGAAUGGCGUAAUGAUGGCCAGGCUGUCUCCACCCGAGACUCA